CCCCAGGUCAGGCGGGGCUACCCA
rnacentral:rRNA from 1 species